rnacentral:tRNA from 1 species
GGGGAUAUAGCACAGUUGGUAGAGUGCUUGCCUUGCAUGCACAAGGCCCUGGGUUCAAUCCCCAGCACCACCA